rnacentral:rRNA from 1 species
AGAUGGGAGCUUGCUCCCUGAUCUUAGCGGCGGACGGGUGAGUAACACGUGGGCAACCUGCCCUGCAGACUGGGAUAACUCCGGGAAACCGGAGCUAAUACCGGGUAAUACAUCGCACCGCAUGGUGCAAUGUUGAAAGUUGGCUUUCGAGCUAACACUGCAGGAUGGGCCCGCGGCGCAUUAGCUAGUUGGUAAGGUAAUGGCUUACCAAGGCGACGAUGCGUAGCCGACCUGAGAGGGUGAUCGGCCACACUGGGACUGAGACACGGCCCAGACUCCUACGGGAGGCAGCAGUAGGGAAUCUUCCGCAAUGGACGAAAGUCUGACGGAGCAACGCCGCGUGAGUGACGAAGGCCUUCGGGUCGUAAAGCUCUGUUGUUAGGGAAGAACAAGUACCGUUCGAAUAGGGCGGUACCUUGACGGUACCUAACCAGAAAGCCACGGCUAACUACGUGCCAGCAGCCGCGGUAAUACGUAGGUGGCAAGCGUUGUCCGGAAUUAUUGGGCGUAAAGCGCGCGCAGGCGGUCUUUUAAGUCUGAUGUG